rnacentral:ncRNA from 1 species
CCCGAUCUGGGACAUGGUGGUGGAUGACAAUGUUAGGAAAUCUGGAGGUGUCAUCGGGGGCCUGGGAAGAGUUAUCUUUUCUUUUUAAUAACUUUCCCACCCUGAAAUCGGUUCAACCAGAGAUAGGGUCCAAUAUUUGAAAGAGCACCACACGUCUUGUGGUGUUUGGUUCCCCCUCGGCGGCCAUUGUAAAUAUGGAGAACCGAGUACCAUCCAUGCCCGAUCAUACUCAUAUCUACCUCCUUGUGUUUUUCAAUGUCCACUAGGUUAGCGAUCU